CCUACGGGAGGCAGCAGUGAGGAAUAUUGGUCAAUGGGCGCGAGCCUGAACCAGCCAAGUCGCGUGAGGGAAGACGGUCCUAUGGAUUGUAAACUUCUUUUGUAGGGGCGCAAAAGAACCCACGUGUUGCGUUCCGAGAGUACCCUACGAAAAAGCAUCGGCUAACUCCGGGCCAGCAGCCGCGGUAAUACGGGGGAUGCAAGCGUUAUCCGGAUUAAUUGGGUUUAACGGGUGCGUCGGGGGGCAUUUAAGCCGGAGGUGAAAUGUCGGGGCCAAACCCCGGUCUGCCGUGGAAACUGGGUGGCUGGAGUGGGCGAGAAGUAUGCGGAAUGCGUGGUGUAGCGGUGAAAUGCAUAGAGAUCACGCAGAACCCCGAUUGCGAAGGCAGCAGACCGGCGCCCUACUGACGCUGAGGCACGAAAGUGCGGGUAGCAAACAGGAUUAGAUACCCCUGUAGUC
rnacentral:rRNA from 1 species